GAUGAACGCCGGCGGCGUGCCUAAUACAUGCAAGUCGAGCGAACAGAUGAGAAGCUUGCUUCUCUGAUGUUAGCGGCGGACGGGUGAGUAACACGUGGGUAACCUACCUAUAAGACUGGGAUAACUCCGGGAAACCGGGGCUAAUACCGGAUAAUAUUUUGAACCGCAUGGUUCAAUAGUGAAAGACGGUUUCGGCUGUCACUUAUAGAUGGACCCGCGCCGUAUUAGCUAGUUGGUAAGGUAACGGCUUACCAAGGCGACGAUACGUAGCCGACCUGAUAGGAUGAUCGGCCACACUGGAAAUGAGACACGGUCCAGACUCCUACGGGAGGCAGCAGUAGGGAAUCUUCCGCAAUGGGCGAAAGCCUGACGGAGCAACGCCGCGUGAGUGAUGAAGGUCUUCGGAUCGUAAAACUCUGUUGUUAGGGAAGAACAAAUUUGUUAGUAACUGAACAAGUCUUGACGGUACCUAACCAGAAAGCCACGGCUAACUACGUGCCAGCCGCCGCCGUAAAAC
rnacentral:rRNA from 1 species